rnacentral:rRNA from 1 species
CGCGAAUGGCUCAUUACAACAGCUGUUGUUUCUUGGAUCUUGUUUUACUUGGAUAACUGUGGUAAUUCUAAAGCUAAUACAUGCUAAAAAACUCUAACCUUACGGAAGGAGCGCAUUUAUUAGACCAAGACCAAACAGGCUUUGCCUGGAAUCUGGUGACUCUGAAUAACUUUGCUGAUCACAUGGUCCUAGCACCGGUGACAUUUCUUUCAAGUGUCUGCCCUACCAACUUUCGAUGGUAGCUUAUGCACCUACCAUGGUGGUAACGGGUAACGGAAAAUAAGGGUUCGACUCCGGAGAGGGAGCCUGAGAAAUGGUACCACAUCCAAGGAAGGCAGCAGGC